GGCUAAACGAGAAACCCACUGUCUCAGGUUAUAACAAUCCGAAUUUCAUCUAGACGUGCAAAAGCGUCUUUUAUUUUAAAAGACGAUCAGACCCUAUGGAGCUUUUCAAAAGUUUAUAAUGGAUAAAGUAUGUAAAUACAAACUUAUUAUGACAUUUUUUGUUGGGGCGACAAAGAGAUGAAAAAUAACACUCUUCUAAUAAAAUAUUUUUAAAUAAAAAAGUGAUCCUAUCAGUUAGAUUAAGAGACUAAGUUACCCUAGGGAUAACAGCGUUAUUUCUUUGGAGAGUCCAAAUCGAUAAAGAAGUUUGCGACCUCGAUGUUGGAUCAAAGUUCCUAUAAGGUGAAGCCGCUUUAUUAGGGGGUCUGUUCGACCUUUAAAUCUUUACGUGAUCUGAGU
rnacentral:rRNA from 1 species